GUAGUCCGCGGGCGGGCGCGGGGGGCGCAGGCGAGACCCUGGCGCGGCCGGGGGUCCUGCGGGUGGGACUGCGGGGCGCGGGCGGCGUGGACGGGGCAGCGGGCGCGCGCGGGGCGGGUCUGGCCGGAGGGAAUUCCGCGCGCGGCCCCCCUCCCACGUGGCACGGCCCUGCCGCCCACGCGCGCGGGCAGCUCCCUCUCCACCUCUCCUCGGACGCGUUUCUUGCGGAGUUGGGGAGUGGUGGCGGUGGGUGGGUCGAGUUUUUCUCUAGAACAGGCCUGGGACUUGCCCCCACUCACGGUGACCUCUGGAUUUGGCCGGCGGGGCCCUGGGACACGAGCUCUGUGCCCGCGAGGGGAGUCUGGCCUGGCGGGCUCCGCCACGCUACCGGUGAGCACCGGGCCAGCCGCGGACCUGGCUCUCCAUUCUUCCCCGGGGGCCUGUGUGGCCUCUCUUGACCCCCUCCACCAAGUGUGUGUGCCAUCACAAAACGUGAGACGGAGAAGGGACAGACUUUUCACCUUAGUCCUGGCCGCCCAUAUUCAGAGAGGCCGACUGUCUUGUUCAUUGCUGCCUGGCAAAAACCUACAUUCAUAAAGAGAAGUGAUGAACCGGGGAAAAUGAUUUUAAAUUGAUGCCACAAAAGGGCUCGUUUCCCUCAUGUACGUGAAACUCUUGUGAACCAAUAAAAAUAUAUAUGUAUAUAGAAAAAUGAGCAAAGUGUGUGGAUGGACAGUUCGUAGGAAAUUCAAUGGUUCUUAAGCAUAUGAGAAGCUAUUCAACUACGCUGCAAUAAGAGAAAAAAAGUCGCAGUGGGAUCAUUUUUAUUAGAUUAGCAAAGAUUUUUUAAAACGUUUAAUACAACCUGGGCAACAUAGCCAGACCUUGUCUCUAAAAAACUUAGCUGGGCUCGGUGGCACGUGCCCGUAGUCUCAGCUACUCAGGAGGCUGAGGCAGGAGGGUCACUUGAGUCCCACAGUUUGAGGCUGCAGUGAGCUGUGAUCGUGUCACUGCACUCCAGCCUGGGCAACAGAGUGAGACCCUGUCUCAAACAAAAACAAACAAAAAAAAGUUUUAAUAGCAUAAUUUUGAAGAAACUAGAGAAACAAGCUCCUUUACGGGUAGGAGAAUAAAUUAGCGUAGUUUCCAUUCAGAUAUUUGUGGAUAUCCAUAAAAAUUCUAAAUGCACAUAGCCUUUGACCCACAUGCAGGAAUGGUGCCAGAGACGGACUCGCUUGUAUGAAUGGCAUAUGUGAUCAUCACAUUUGCUUACAUACUACGUGCCAUCCCAUGGGAAGUGUUGGAUGCACCUGGGCACAUCCAUAGGCUGCAACGCCGGGCAGCCGGAGACAGAUUAGGCAAGUGUUGAUCUGUGAAGGCUGGUUUCUCUGCCUGGCCCAGCAUUCUACAGUGGCUUCCAUGUUGCACUAUAGUAGGCCAUCCCAUGGCCCCCCAGACCUUUCUGGAGCAUCCCCGGCGUCCACUGUCUCCCUGCUUGUCCCCACCUGCGACUUCAUGCCUCCCUCCAGCCUCCUGUCCCUGAAGCCUGUUCCCAAGGCCUUCUGUACUCUAUCUUCAAACACUUCCCAGGUUUUCCACAACCUUCUCUGUAUUCAGGUCUCCGCCCAACCCCACUCCCACCACCACCACUACAGCUAAUGGACAUUCCCUCUAUACACGCACCUCCAGUGACAUCACUCACAGUUCCAAAAUGGCCAGAUGACUGGUUCUGUGGGCCUCAGGACAUGAAACAGUCCUCGGCAUAUGUGAAUAAAAGGUUGUUUACACUAAAAAAGUGACAGGUCCACAGCAAGUGCGAAUAACUGAAAGUAAACCAAAGACUUCAACCUCCCCCAGGCCAUUUCUCCUAUUACUACAUACAGCCCACGGCUGGAAUUCACUUACACAAUAAUCGUCAUAUCUCGUCUUCAAGAGGAUUGUCAAUGUGUCCACUAUAAUCCUUCAGAACAAUCUAGAAAUAAUACCUCUUAAGGCAGAUUCAUCUCCAAAAUGUUAAAAGAAAAAAAAAAGUUUUAUCUUAAAGUGUCAAAUUUUCAUUAUUAACAAUUAAUGCAAUAUACAACUUUGAAAAAUGGGCAGAAAGAAAGAAAAAACAACUAUAAAGGUUGUUAUUGAGGAAAAUGGAAAAUCUGAACGUGAACAGUGAUACCGGAUAAUAGUAUUGGAUCAAUGUUAAAUUUCCCAAGGGUGAUCAUUGUAUUGAAAGUAUGGUAGCCCGUGCCAUUCAUUGUUCUCACCAAAUUGUUCUGAAGGAUUUAGGGUGAAAUAUUGUGAUAUCUGCAAACGUGACAGAGACCGAGAGAGAGCAGAUGUGGCAAAACUGGUGAAUCUAGGUGAAGGCUAUAUGGGUUGUUCCGUAGGUUUGAAAUUAAAAAUAAAUGAGUUGAAAAUUUAAAAAACAACAGACAAGAG
rnacentral:lncRNA from 1 species